UUUGUUUCGGAAUAACUCGGGGAAACUUGAGCUAAUCCCGGAUAAGCCCUUACGGGGAAAGAUUUAUCGCCGAAAGAUGAGCCCGCACUUGAUUAGCUAGUUGGUGAGGUAACUGCUCACCAAGGCAACAAUCAAUAGCUGUUCUUAGAGGAAGACCAGCCACAUUGGGACUGAGACACGGCCCAGACUCCUACGGGAGGCAGCAGUGGGGAAUCUUGCACAAUGGGGGAAACCCUGAUGCAGCGAUGCCGCGUGAGUGAAGAAGGCCUUUGGGUUGUAAAACUCUUUCGUCGGGGAAGAAAAUGACUGUACCCGAAUAAGAAGGUCC
rnacentral:rRNA from 1 species